UACGGAGGAUCCAAGCGUUGUCCGGAUUUAUUGGGUUUAAAGGGUGCGUAGGCGGAUCUUUAAGUCAGUGGUGAAAGCCUGCAGCUCAACUGUAGAACAGCCAUUGAAACUGAAGAUCUUGAAUGUGGUUAAAGUAGGCGGAAUGUAUCAUGUAGCGGUGAAAUGCUUAGAUAUGAUACAGAACACCGAUAGCGAAGGCAGCUUGCUGAACCAUUAUUGACGCUGAGGCACGAAAGCGUGGGGAGCAAACAGG
rnacentral:rRNA from 1 species